rnacentral:rRNA from 1 species
AGAACGAACGCUGGCGGCAGGCUUAACACAUGCAAGUCGAACGAGACUUCGGUCUAGUGGCGCACGGGUGAGUAACGCGUGGGAACCUGUCCUAUGGUACGGAAUAACAUCGGGAAACUGGUGCUAAUACCGUAUAAGCCCCGAGGGGGAAAGAUUUAUCGCCAUAGGAGGGGCCCGCGUAGGAUUAGCUAGUUGGUGAGGUAACGGCUCACCAAGGCGACGAUCCUUAGCUGGUCUGAGAGGAUGAUCAGCCACACUGGGACUGAGACACGGCCCAGACUCCUACGGGAGGCAGCAGUGGGGAAUAUUGGACAAUGGGGGAAACCCUGAUCCAGCCAUGCCGCGUGUGUGAUGAAGGCCUUCGGGUUGUAAAGCACUUUCGCACGUGACGAUGAUGACGGUACGUGAGAAGAAGCCCGGCUACUUCGUGCCAGCAGCCGC